GGGAGAUGUUUGCUGGGCAAACAAGUGUGCAACACAUCAGCAGGAAGUUGCCAACAGAUCUGGGUAGGUUAUGGCAGUUAGAGAACUGCCACACAUGGCAAGGAGAGAGUGUUUGGUGGAACACUUGUAAUAAGCUAGGUGUGGGCUUGUCACACCAUGACAUGUGUAAUAGUUGCUGGUCUAUAUAAACCAGACUUGGUCUGAUUUGGGAAGACAGGCUUAAGUGAGUGUAUUUCCCUAAGUGUAGAGAAAUAAAUGGCUGAGGCCUUGUAAACCAGUUCAGUGUUUAAUUUGUGUG
rnacentral:lncRNA from 1 species